AACGAACGCUGGCGGCAUGCCUAACACAUGCAAGUCGAACGAGACCUUCGGGUCUAGUGUCGCACGGGUGCGUAACGCGUGGGAACCUGCCCUUAGGUUCGGAAUAACUCCCCGAAAGGGGUGCUAAUACCGGAUAAUGUCUUCGGACCAAAGAUUUAUCGCCUUUGGAUGGGCCCGCGUUGGAUUAGCUAGUUGGUAGUGUAAAAGCCUACCAAGGCGACGAUCCAUAGCUGGUCUGAGAGGAUGAUCAGCCACACUGGGACUGAGACACGGCCCAGACUCCUACGGGAGGCAGCAGUGGGGAAUAUUGGACAAUGGGCGAAAGCCUGAUCCAGCAAUGCCGCGUGAGUGAUGAAGGCCUUAGGGUUGUAAAACUCUUUUACCCGGGAUGAUAAUGACAGUACCGGGAGAAUAAGCUCCGGCUAACUCCGUG
rnacentral:rRNA from 1 species